CAGCCGCCGCGGUAAUACGUAGGGUGCAAGCGUUAAUCGGAAUUACUGGGCGUAAAGCGUGCGCAGGCGGUUUGUUAAGACAGAUGUGAAAUCCCCGGGCUCAACCUGGGAACUGCAUUUGUGACUGGCAAGCUAGAGUCUGGCAGAGGGGGGUGGAAUUCCGCGUGUAGCAGUGAAAUGCGUAGAUAUGCGGAGGAACACCGAUGGCGAAGGCAGCCACCUGGGCCAACACUGACGCUCAUGCACGAAAGCGUGGGGAGCAAACAGGAUUAGAUACCCCGGUAGUCCCUGUCUCUUAUAC
rnacentral:rRNA from 1 species